GAUGAACGCUGGCGGCGUGCCUAAUACAUGCAAGUAGAACGCUGAAGCUUGGUGCUUGCACCGAGCGGAUGAGUUGCGAACGGGUGAGUAACGCGUAGGUCACCUGCCUCUUAGCGGGGGAUAACUAUUUGAAACGAUAGCUAAUACCGCAUAAAAGUCGCUAUCGCAUGAUAUUGAUUUGAAAGGUGCAAAUGCAUCACUAAGAGAUGGACCUGCGUUGUAUUAGCUAGUUGGUGAGGUAACGGCUCACCAAGGCGACGAUACAUAGCCGAACUGAGAGGGUGAUCGGCCACACUGGGACGGGGACACGGCCCAGGCUCCUGCGGGAGGCAGCAGUAGGGAAUCGGCGGCAAUGGGGGCAACCCUGACCGAGCAACGCCGCGUGAGUGAAGAAGGUUCUCGGAUCGUAAAGCUCGGUUGUAAGAGAAGAACGAGUGUGAGAGUGGAAAGUGCACACUGUGACGGUAACUGACCAGAAAGGGACGGCUAACUACGUG
rnacentral:rRNA from 1 species